rnacentral:lncRNA from 8 species
CUAAAAAUAAUAACAUUAGAAAUAAGAAAUAAGAGAGGAAGCUUUAUUCUGGUUCAGUGUUCAGCACCUCAGAGAGGAAGCUUUAUUCUGGGUCAGUGUUCAGUACCUCAGAGAGGAAGCUUUAUUCUGGGUCAGUGUUCAGCACCUCAGAGAGGAAGCUUUAUUCUGGGUCAGUGUUCAGUACCUCAGAGAGGAAGCUUUAUUCUGGGUCAGUGUUCAGCACCUCAGAGAGGAAGCUUUAUUCUGGGUCAGUGUUCAGUACCUCAGAGAGGAAGCUUUAUUCUGGGUCAGUGUUCAGUACCUCAGAGAGGAAGCUUUAUUCUGGUUCAGUGUUCAGCACCUCAGAGAGGAAGCUUUAUUCUGGGUCAGUGUUUAGUACCUCAGAGAGGAAGCUUUAUACUGGGUCAGUGUUCAGUACCUCAGAGAGGAAGCUUUAUACUGGGCCAGUGUUCAGUACCUCAGAGAGGAAGCUUUAUACUGGGCCAGUGUUCAGUACCUCAGAGAGGAAGCUAUAUACUGGGUCAGUGUUCAGCACCUCAGAGAGGAAGCUUUAUACUGGGCCAGUGUUCAGUACCUCAGAGAGGAAGCUUUAUACUGGGCCAGUGUUCAGUACCUCAGAGAGGAAGCUAUAUACUGGGUCAGUGUUCAGCACCUCAGAGAGGAAGCUUUAUACUGGGCCAGUGUUCAGUACCUCAGAGAGGAAGCUUUAUACUGGGCCAGUGUUCAGUACCUCAGAGAGGAAGCUUUAUACUGGGCCAGUGUUCAGUACCUCAGAGAGGAAGCUAUAUACUGGGUCAGUGUUCAGCACCUCAGAGAGGAAGCUUUAUACUGGGCCAGUGUUCAGUACCUCAGAGAGGAAGCUUUAUUCAGGGUCAGUGUUCAGUACCUCAGAGAGGAAGCUUUAUACUGGGCCAGAGUUCAGUACCUCAGAGAGGAAGCUUUAUACUGGGCCAGUUUUCAGUACCACAGAGGGGAAGCUUUAUACUAGGUCACUGCCAGUACCACAUUUACAAUGUGCAGGGAUACUGGAGUAUUGAGGUAUUUAUGGACAUGUAG